rnacentral:misc_RNA from 1 species
GAUGAAGAACGCAGCGAAAUGCGAUACUUGGUGUGAAUUGCAGAAUCCCGUGAACCAUCGAGUCUUUGAACGCAAGUUGCGCCCGAAGCCAUUAGGCCGAGGGCACGCCUGCCUGGGCGUCACACGUCGUUGCCCCCCCAUCUACUCCUUCGGGAUUGCGGGGGGCGGAUGAUGGCCUCCCGUGCGCCUCGCCGCGCGGUUGGCAUAAAUGCCAAGUCCUCGGCGACGCACGCCACGACAAUCGGUGGUUGCGAAACCUCGGUUGCCCGUCGUGUGCGGUCGUCGCGCAUCGAGGGCUCGAAAAAAUUGCCGGGUUCCGGCUCGGCUUUCAACGCGACCCCAGGGCAGGCGGGGUUACCCGCUGAAUUUAAGCAUAUCAAUAAGCGGAGGA